rnacentral:rRNA from 1 species
GAGGGCGGGUGCGGGGCGCCGGGGUACAACCGGGGGGUGAAGGGGUGGCGUCGUGUAUUGGGUUUAAAGGGGCCGUGGCCGGCUUGGCAAGUCCUGUGGGAAAUCUGGCAGCUCAACUGGCGGGCUUCUGAAGGAAACUGCUAGGCUUGGGACCGGGAGAGGUUAGAGGUACUUCAGGGGUAGGAGUGAAAUCCUGUAAGCCCUGAGGGACCGCCGGUGGCGAAGGCGUCUAACCAGAACGGGUCCGACGGUGAGGGACGAAAGCUAGGGGCACGAACCGGAUUAGAUACCCUGGUAGUC